GGACAUGAGGGCAAUCUGGCUGCAACAUCUGUCACCCCACUGAUCGCCAGGGUUGAUUCAGCUGAUCUGGCUGGUUAGGCAGGUGACCCCUUCCCCUCUCAAUGCUCCAUGUGCGUCCCUCCCGAAGCUGCACACUCCAUCAAAGAGGAUGACCACCCCGGAUAGAGGAGGACCAUUCCUUGGUCAAGGGAAUACGAGUAGCUGCGCUCCCCUGCUAGAAGCUCAAAACAAGCUCUGAAGGUCCAAAAGCCUUCAAAUCAUGUGUGGAAUAUAUAAUAAAAGCAAGAAGCAGCUAGAGUUAUCAAAAAAUUUGCUAGCAUAUUUU
rnacentral:snRNA from 1 species